CAAAGAAUAUUUAGAAGUAAAUGAUACCAUUCUCUUAGAUAUAAAUGCAUUUUGAACACAGAAUGUACAAUAUUUAACAUAUUUCUUAAUGAAAGGACAUUGUAUUGGAAUGGAGGAUAUUUAAUUCAGAAUUAAUUACAAUAAAUCUGGAAACAGCCAAGUCUAUAGUAACCUGCUGGUCACCUAAUGGAAUAUCUUGAAUAAUACAAGCCUGAUGUAGUUACUAGCUACUGAAGAUUUUGAAGAUGAGCAGUAUGCAACCACUAGAAGUAUUAUCUCUGUUUGACAGAUGAGGAACUGUUUUAAGGAAGUGAUGUAAUUGGACCAGGUUGACACAUCUAAGGAAGUAAGAAGAAAGAGGCAGGAGAGCAUCUCAAAAAAAUAUUGGGUGAUUCUUCAUGAAAAGGAAGGAUGUGUUUAUGUCUCAGCUGAUUCAAGAUUCUGAACUUGGUGAUUUGAAAAAUGAUAAUGUCACCCAAAACAUUUUAAAGUUAAAAGGGUUAGCAAGUUCAAAGAGGAAGUUAGUAUAAUGGUUUAUUAAAUUCACUCUGAGUUGACAUUCAAAUAUGUAUUGAAAUGACCAAAGGGACUGUAGAUAAUUGAGGGGGGUGGUCAGGCGACAGGUUCAUUCUGGGUAGACAGCUUUCAAAUCAUACUUGCAGUUCCCUCUGGAAUAUCUUGUCCCAGAUUGUCCAAAGCUAUCUUCAUUUGACAUUCUGCUCUUAGCUCCCUUGUCAUUUCUCCCACUUAGUCUUUCCUAGUCCAAUCUACAUGUUCCAUCCCUCCCUGCCCUACCACUCUAACACACCUGUGUGUUUUACAUUCUUCGAAGUACUUCUUAUCAUCUAAAAUAAUCUGUGUCAUUUAUUUACUUGUUUGCUGUCUCUUCUCAAUAAAAUACCAUCUCCAGGUGACCAGGGA